CAUCGGUUUUCGUCCGACCAUCGAAGUUAAGCACCGUCGAGACUGGUCAGUACCUAGAUGGGUGACUGCUCGGGAAUACCAGAUGUUGCAAG